rnacentral:rRNA from 1 species
AUGGACGUGGAGCUAGAGAAGCGGAUCGCGGUGCCGCUGUGGACUAGCUCCUUCGUGGCAGUGACUCAACGUGUGUGCGUGUGGGUAGUGGUGAGUAGAAAUCGGAGCAAGCCGGAAUUGCCGUUCUAUAAGUUGGUCGGCAUCGAGGCGGAGCCUCAAAAGCAGAACAGGAAAGUUGCAGGCUCGAGCAUAUUGUCCGGUGUCGCGAGCGCCGGGUUUCCGGAGCGUUCCUGCGGGGCGCGUCUAGCUGGCGGCCGGCGGCUCGUUAGCGCUCGUGAGCGGCCGGCUAAAAAAAGGGCCCCUCUGGCGUCGGGGGCCCGAGGCGGCCGCCCCGUUCGCCCCCCCGGGUCCGACAAGUGGGAGGUGAGGCGCGUGAAGGUCCUUGACGGCAGGGACAAGGACCUGGCGCUGCAGUGCUGGGAGACCGACGCCGUCGUGCCCGUCGGCGGCCGGUUCCUGUGCUGGGUCGACUACUACCGUGGCAUCCUGGUCGGCCGCGUGUUGGCCGACGGCGGCUCCGCGCUCACGUACGUGCCGCUGCCCGUGGACACCCCUUGGGCGGAGCCCGACCACGGCCGGGAGUGCCCCGAGGCGUCCCGGAGCGUCUGCGUCACCGCCGGCGACACGGUGAAGUUCGUCAGCGUCGACCGCGGCCUGGUCUUCGUCUUCACCGUCACCAUCUGGACCCCGGGCAAGGCGCGGGACGGCGGCAUGGAGUGGGAGAAGGACGGCGAGUUCCGUGCCGCCGAGCUCUGGGCCUUCUCCGGCUACGAGCGCCUCCCGCGUGUCCCGCCGGAGUACCCCGUCGUGAGCAUGGUCGACCCCGACGCCCUCUGCUUCAUGGUGAGCGCGGGACGCCACGCUGGUGUCGACGCCGGGGGAGACGACACGGUGUGGCUGGUCGAGGUCGACACGAGGCGCAGAGCGGUGCGGUCAGUGUCCCGCUACUCCAAAGAAGAGACGAGGGACAUAUCAGGGCGUGCCUUCCACGACGACGAGGAGGAGGAGGACGACACCGAUGGCUUGGCCUCGCUGAACAUGUUUCAUGGCCAUGCCUUCCUUCCCAGCGAGGUCACCGCGCACGUACACGAGCAGUAG